rnacentral:rRNA from 1 species
AUUGAACGCUGGCGGCAGGCCUAACACAUGCAAGUCGAGCGGAUGAAGGGAGCUUGCUCCUGGAUUCAGCGGCGGACGGGUGAGUAAUGCCUAGGAAUCUGCCUGGUAGUGAGGGAUAACGUCCGGAAACGGGCGCUAAUACCGCAUACGUCCUGAGGGAGAAAGUGGGGGAUCUUCGGACCUCACGCUAUCAGAUGAGCCUAGGUCGGAUUAGCUAGUUGGUGGGGUAAAGGCCUACCAAGGCGACGAUCCGUAACUGGUCUGAGAGGAUGAUCAGUCACACUGGAACUGAGACACGGUCCAGACUCCUACGGGAGGCAGCAGUGGGGAAUAUUGGACAAUGGGCGAAAGCCUGAUCCAGCCAUGCCGCGUGUGUGAAGAAGGUCUUCGGAUUGUAAAGCACUUUAAGUGGGGAGGAAGAGCAGUAAGUUAAUACCUCGCUGUUUUGACGGUACCAAAAGAAUAAGCACCGGCUAACUUCGUG